rnacentral:lncRNA from 1 species
CGCAUUCAAUUCGCUUCUUAGCAACAAGACAGAGAGGAUUUUUCUUGUGUUGAAUAAGUCCGGCUUGACCAUGAGUGUCAAUGUCUUCCCUCUUAGCUCCUUCAGGCAUUUCCCAGUCAAAUGAAUAGAGAAGAUUAGAAAGUACAAGGUCGAUGGUAGCAAUAGCCAUGUUUAAGCCGGGGCAAAUUCUUCGCCCAGAACCAAACGGAAUCAGCUCAAAAUCUUGUCCUUUUAAAUCUAUAUCACUUCCUAUGAAUCUCUCUGGAUAAAACUCUUCUGGAUCCUUCCAUACUUCUGGGUCUCUAUGGAUCGCCAAUGCAUUCACGUACACCAAUGUCUUGUCUGGAAUGUCGUACCCUGCAAUGUUGCAAUUUGUCAUUGUUUCUCUUGGUAAAAGUAUAGGCAAAAUUGGGUACAAUCUCAUCGAUUCUUUUAUAACGGCCUUGAAAUAUGGAAGCUUUUCGACAUCUUCUUCCUCUAUAAAACCUUUCCCUGCACACACUUUCCGAAUCUCUUCUUGUACUUUCUGCAUCGCUCUUGGAUUCUUCAUUAGCGCAGUCAUAGCCCAGACUACCGCUGCCGCAAUUGUUUCUGUCACAGCAAACGACAUAUUCUGCAAUAUUGGACAAGUUUCAAUAUGUUUCAUGAACUAUUCUGCAAAGAUAAAAUGUUUUGAAAUUGAACCAAGAUGAAGGCUUAAUAAGAGUGAAGAAUAAAAAUAAUUAAAAAAAAACAUUAACCAUGAUCAAGGGCUUGAUGUGUUCUGCAGUGAGAUCCAUUGAGCAGUAAGGAUCAUUCUUCAGUUCAAUCAAGGCAUCAAUAACAUCAUCCUCAUGUGGAGGCAACUUCUUCCUUUCUGGAUCAAGAUGUUCAUCAACAAUACUUUGAUAAAGUUCAUCUGAAACCUUGAACGUUUUCUCAAGGCGACUCGUCUUUCCGGUGAGCUUAUCAACAAUCCCUCCAACAAAGGGCAAAUAAUCCGCGUAAAAGAACGAAAUUAGCAAAUCCUGAACUUCUUUAUGCAGACCUUGAAACAUGCUACGCUCAAUUCCUUCCCCUUCAUACCUUCUGCCGAAGGCGGUCUUACAAACUAAAGUACUUGUAAGACAAGUAAGAAGAUCCUGCAUGUUCAUAACUUUGUUGGAAGAAGCAUUUUCUGAUAUCUUCUUGAUCAUUCGUGUCACCUCAUCUUUUCUAACUGAGUAAAACAUUGAGACUCUUUUGACACUAAGAAAAUGAAUAAAGGAAAGUUUUUUUGUGUGUCUCCAAUAUUCUCUAUAUGGUGCAAAUAUUUGAUCUAAUCCAUUAUAUGAUAUUUUCAUAUGGCUGAUUAACGCGGGUCGGUUACAGAAUUCGAUAUCAUGUGUUUUCAUUACUUCUUUGGCCAUUUUUGCUGAUGAAACAACGACUGUUUGCUUUGAACCAAGUUUAAGGGAGAUUAUAGGGCCAUAUUUCUUAGAGAGUUCAUAGAAAUUUAAACCAAGAACUGAACUAUCAAGUUGGUGUAAGUUUCCAAUGAAAGGAAGGCCUUUAGGACCUGGUGGAAGAGUUGUUGAUUUCUUAGAUGUUUUGUGUUUUUUGAACAAGAAGAAUAGCAAGAGAGCAAAGGGUAAAAGAAUAAGGGGUGACAUGUUUUUGUUCAUGAAUUAGGGAUAGCUAUUCAGCUAUUGUAAUAUAUAGAUAGACACCACCAACUCUUUUUAAGGUACUUCACUUAUAGUUUUGGAUAAGAACGUUAUGUCAUAAUUUGAUCCAUGUAGCUGACUGUACUUAAGGGAUAAGGUUUGAUUGUUUUUGUCACAUUGCAUUUUGAAUACAUCAGUAUAGGACGAAUAUAGACACGAAAAGCAAACAUCAGCCGAUUAAUACUAUUUAUUAUUACCCUUAAAAUGACUAAACCACUUUUUGAAUACAUAAGUAUGGGACGAAUAUAGACACGAAAAGAAAACAUCAGUCAGUUAAUACUAUUUAUUAUUACCCUUGAAAUGAGUAAACCACUUUUUGAAUACAUCAGUAUGAGACGAAUGUAGACACGAAAAGCAAACAUCAUCCAGUUAAUAUUAGUUAUUAUUACCCUUAAAAUGACUAAACCACUUUUUGAAUACAUCAGUAUGGGACGAAUAUAGACACAAAAAGAAAACAUCAGCCAGUUAAUACUAUUUAUUAUUACCCUUGAAAUGAGUAAACCACUUUUUGAAUACAUCAGUAUGGGACGAAUAUAGACAUGAAAAACAAACAUCAGCAAGUUAAUAUUAUUUAUUAUUAUUUAUUAUUACCCUUGAAAUGACUAAACCACUUUUUGAAUACAUCAGUAUGAGACGAAUAUAGACACGAAAAGAAAACAUCAGCCAAUUAAUACUAUUUAUUAUUAUUUAUUAUUACCCUUGAAAUAAGUAAACCACUUUUUGAAUACAUCAGUAUGGGACGAAUAUAAACACGAAAAGAAAACAUCAGCCAGUUAAUACUAUUUAUUAUUAUCCUUGAAAUGACUAAACCACUUUUUGAAUACAUCAGUAUGGGACGAAUGUAAACACGAAAAGCAAACAUCAGCAAGUUAAUAAUUAUUAUUUAUUAUUUCAAGUAAACCACUUUUUGAAUACAUCAGUAUGGGACGAAUAUAGACACAAACAACAAACAUCAGCCAGUCAAUACUAUUUAUUACUCCAUCCGUUUCAAAAUGAGUGUCAUUUUAACCAAAAAAAAAUUGUAUUAAAAUGAUUGUCACUUUCAGUUUCCAAUGCAAUAAUAACAAUUGUUUCAAAAAUUGUUGUACAAAUAUCAUUUCUCUUUUUAUUAUUUGAUUCUCACACUCUAAACUAAACAAAUAUCGAGAUGUCAAUUUAUCCAAAAAUAAAUAAAUAUCGACAUGUCAAUGCUAUUUUAUUAUUUAUUAUCACACCGUAAAUCUCUGAAAACAAUAAGCUUGCACAAAACUGCAUGUCUUCGUGGAUUCAACAUUUCUUUUAAGAUGUAAAAUUAUGUAAAAGACAACGAGUUAAAAUUAUAUCAAUAUAUAUAUAUAUAUAUAUAUAUAUAUAUAUAUGGGGUUUGCUAACUUAGAACAACAAAAAAACGUGAAGGUCCAAGUUAGCAAAAAUGCACUUUUUCAUUUGAACAAAAAAACAAAUAUCCAAAUUGGUAAAUAUCCCUCAAGCUAUUUGUUAUAAAAUAAAAGUGGGUCUAAGUUAGCAAGCAAAUUGGUGUAAGUUAACAAACAUGUUUUAAUGAAAAUUACUAAAGUAACCCUCAAACUAUUUGUAAUAAAAUAAAAGUGGGUCUAAGUUAGCAAAUUGGUGCAAGUUAACAAAUAAGUUUUAAUAUAAAUUACUAAAAGAUUAUCAACUUUUUUGUUAUAACUUGCUAAAAGACACUUUAAUAAAAAUUAGUUGGUGUCUUUUAACAAAUGCCUAUAAGAUAACUUGCUAAAAUACACCUUCAUAAAGGGUGUCUUCUAUAUAUAUAUAUAUACCAAAAAAAGUUGAUUUUAUAUCAUUAUACAUUUCACCAAAUGAUAUACAUUUCAACUAACGAUAUAUAUUUAAUCUAAUCCGCCCCAAGAUCUAUGCUAACAUCAUCAAGAUUAUAGCUUUUAUCAUUUUCAAUCUUCACACCAUCUUCAACCUUCUUCUCAGCAUCAAGCUUCUUUACAAGAUCAACCAUCUGUCUGAUAUAUCUAUCAGGCCAUCUUUUUGCAUCAUCUAGAGAGUGUUGUCACCAUAGCGGGCAAAUGGGAGGAAUUGGAAAACCAUCAUUCAAAUAUAUUAUCAUAAAAUGGUUGUCAUUCACAUGUGUCAGACACAUCAAUCGACCUCUAUGUGAUGGUGCACCACAUAGAGGGAAAUAGGUUUCCAAUCACCCUUUCGCAAUAGACAGUAGAACCACCACAUGUUUGUAUCUCUGUACAAUGAGGAAACUCAUAUCCGGCAUGGUCAUCCAUUUAUCCGGUGGUGCAUGACCAAUAUCGGAAUAAGUUAGAGCGCCUAAGACCUGUUUAUAUCGCCUAUCUACACAAAUCAUCUGUCGAUAGCACGCAUUUUCUUCAUCGAUAAACUCUUUGUGAAGUUGGUAACAGAUCAACUGGCGAGCAUCAACAUACAUGUCACGUAGGUCCGCAACGGCACAAACCCCACAAUGGCCAUCACAACUACAUCCACCUCCUUUUCAAUAAAUUCAUGCAUCCAAUGUGGGAUUUGUUCUUUGUGUGGUAUGUGGACUUUAACCAGAAUUGGCUUAGGAGGAUUAUAAGACAUGUUGCUUUUCCGUGCACUUUCUCUACUUGUCCCUGUUGAAUUUGUAUGUGAAGCACGUGUUUGUUGAUCCUGGGAGUCAACAAUCUCCUAGAGCAAAGGCGAUCAUUUUGUUGACUAAAUGAUAUGUUUAUUUUUCUUUGGAGCUCCUUUAGGGGGUGACUUUUUUUGGCGGUGGACGCAUAGAGGUCAUCUCCUGCAAAGAAAACUGUCGAAAUUGUUCUUUGAUGCGCACCUUCAUGUUGUAAUCAACGUCCUUGAUUCGGGCCUACAAUGCGUACAAAAAUCUGUCAGGUGGAAUGUUGUAGAAAUCUAAGAAAAUAUGCAUUAUGUUUUGUCCAGUGACUAUUCGGAUUAUAUAAUCUGAAACAUCUCAACCCCCCCCCCCCCCCCCCAGAUCAUGCAAACCAAGUACGUCUGCAUGGUGCUUAAAUGAAAAUUUUUCGGAUUAUAUAAUCCAAAAUUCAUUUAAUAGCUUUUCAUAUUAUAUAAUCUGAAUUCAACCAGUACAUAAAUAGAUCACCCUCUUACUCGAACUUCAACCUCAUCUAGUGAGUGUGGAUGUCAUCCAAACAAAUGGGGGUGUUGUUCUUGAUCUUCAUUGCAAUCGUACACGCACAUGGAAAUCUGUAAGCGAUGAAAAUUAAACAACCACACUUGGAUUUAUCCGUACUACAACCAACUACUCGAUCAACCUCGAUUGCGAGAUAAUGCAAAGCGUUCCUUGGUAUGUUUCGAAUCAACCUAGCCACAACAACUUUCCUUUGAACCUAUGUUCAAGCAUGAUCAUGCUCGUCUAGAAGGAAGCAUGUAUUUGAGUAUGUUGUGACUCUAGCAUGUUGUGAGUGGAGUUCCAUUUUGUACUUAAUUCACCCAUACUACUAUAGUAAGAUACUUUUUCAACGGUCUGUGUGCAUAUUCUGCUCUGUUUGUCGUAGUAUUUCCCAUAUGCUUGACUUUAGUGAACCAAAAAUUCACAAUCUAUUCCUUCACCGAACCCAAAAUUAUAUUUUCAACAUAUUUCAAAAACUUAGGAAAUUUGUGGCAUACAACUUUGAACCGGUUGCAAUUAUCAACAUAUGCUUGCUCUGUAUCAAAAUUCACGAUAUCCUCCCAUGCAACCAUAACCGUUUUCACCACCUCACUUAACUUGAUCUCUUUCCCAUCCUUGCCUUUUAAAUCCUUAACUUUGCAAUCCGUCUUACAUUUUGCUCUAACAUUUUUUUAAUGUGAUACUCACACAAGAGAGCAGUAGCUUCAAGGAAAACAAUAUACACAACAUUCAUCAAAGCAUGUUAAUAAUUAGAGACAGCUACAUUGGGUGAAAUAUCUUUGGAAUGCAACAGUUCACGACACCUGUCAUGAGACCAAGUAACAUUAUCUUCCUUCUCAUACAUCAUAUAACCAAAUCCAAUAGAGAACAUGUACUCGAUAUAAGUGUUACUAACAAACUCAAGUAACGGAAGACGAUACUUGUUGGUCUUAUAAAUCGAACCCAUCACAAGCACCGUAGGCAACAUGUUAAACAACUUGAUACCAUUUGGAUGUGCUUGGAAAAUAUCACUUACAUCAUCGGAAUCAUGAUACUUCCUACGUGAUACAUGUACUCCUUCUCAACCAAUUAUUUCAAAAGAUGUUGCAUGCCUGUUCUCGUACCCCUAAUAGACGUCCGACGAUUUUAUGACCUUUCAACACCUCUUCCAUGUCAUGGUUGUGUCUACCGUCACCAACUUGGAGGCUCCAAUCACCAACAAUUAACAAAUAACCUCUCAACCGAAACAAACACUCACAUUUAACUGAACCAGAUAUUUUGUGUCUCUUCAACUUCUUGUACUCCGUGUAUGAACCUCCUCUUUUACAUAUCACAAUAACAAAUGCAUUUAUCCCAUUUCCACCUCUAUCUGAUUUACCAAUAACGGUUGAAAAACCUAGCUUCCUCUCGAAGCCACUUCAAAAAAUCGUUAUGAAUAGCAAACUUUUGUUUGAUGGUAAAAUUUUCUUGAUGAUUAAUAGAAACAACAACAUCUUGAGGUACAACAAUCGAAGGAGCAUUCUCUGCUUUCACAUUGCCGGAAGGAAUGUCAACUUUCGGUGGAGGUACCUCGGGUUUGCCGUUUUCAGAAUCAUCUAUAACUUCAAGAUCAACAACCGACAGCACAUUAGGUGGUUCAAUAUUAGGUGGCUAUUCAUUGGACGCAUCAACAGAAACAUCCAUUACUGAAACAGUGCGAAAGCAUGGUCAGAAAAUGCAAGCACUUUAUGUACUGGUGUUAUUCUUUAUUUAUCACACUCUAAAUCUUUAAGAUAUACACAUCACUGACUUCUUUAAGGCACUUUAUAAUAUGUGUCAUCGCCAUUAAAGUUACAAUAUUAUUUUAAAUUGUUUUUGUCUCAUUUCAUUUUGAAUACAUCAGUAUGAGACGAAUAUAGACACAAAAACAAACAUCAGCAAGUCAAUACUAUUUAUUAUCUUUUGUAAAAAAAAAAAGAAAAAAAAUACUAUAUAUUAUCUAUUUAUCACACUUUAAAUGAGUAAACUACCAAUUUUGUCUUAAUCUUUAUAAUUUUGAAAAACGUUUGACAAUAUUUCUAAAUAGUCUAUGUCUUUGCCAAAAGUUUCUCCAUUAAACGCAUGUUUCUAUGUUUUUUUCGCAUGACGAGAGACUUAAUUGAGAAAACUUUUGACAAAGGCAUAGACUAUUUUAAAAUAUUAAUAGAGUCGGAGGAUAAUUUGAGAAUCACUUACAAAGACAUGACCGAUUUGAUUAUUUACUCCACUUCAAAUCCUUUAAUGUAGACACUACCAACUCUUUUAAGAGCAUCCAUAAUGGUAGUAACUAAUAGGGACUCCUUAAAUGAGCUUCACAUGUACAAAUUAUUUAUUUAUAAUUUUUUAAUAAAAGUAUCUAUUAAGGACUCAAUGACUCUAAAGACAAUACACUAAUAUGGAUUUCAAUAAAAAAUACUUAAAUAUGUCCGACUAACUUUACAUCAUUAUACAAAAGUAAUUUAUUUAUUACAUUAUCAAUUACCUCAUAAAAUAUUUCUUUUAAAAGUGGAACCAACUUAUAUAUAUUUUAUCAUUUUUUUAAACUUUGGACCAGUUAGUUUUUCAGAAGAGAGAAUCCUUAUAUAAUUGUAUGUUAUUUAAUAGAUACUUUUUUUUUUCCUUUAAUAGAAUGUCCUUGACAGAGAAUGAUCCUUAUUAAGCAAGGACCUCAUAUUAAUGAUGCUCUAAGACACUUUCUCUUGUAUGUCAACUUUUCAAAUCUAUCAACACAAAAGUUACAAUAUCAUAAUAUCAUAAAGUUAACAUUCAACAUCGCUCAAGAGAACACACAUUAAAAGAAAAUAUUUUUUAAUUUUUUUUCAACUCAUUUCAUUUUGGGUAUAGUAAUAGCGGUUGAAUAAAGACACUAGAGCCAGUCCAAUCACACUUUUUUAUUAUUUGAUUCUCACACUCCAAACAAAUAUCAACAUAUCAAUGUUAUUUUAUUAUAAGUUUAAUAAUGGUAGGUUGACGGUUUAAAACAAUUUUGCAUACACAUCGCAAUCAAAACAUUUCAAAUUGCAGCAAAACGGACAGAUCCAGGGAACUUCAGGUGGCUGCAUGUACAUAAAAGACAAACAAAUGAUAUGAUGUAACAGGUACGUUGCAUGACAAAUUUCUUCUCUAUGAUUGUAAUGCUACAAAUUCAAUUGAUAUUCCGACAGCAAAUUAUUUUCAUUAGGAAAUAUAUAUACAUUGGUUGUUUUCCGGACAGAUACAUGGAAUUUCAUCGAAUAGAUUAAAUUAUAGAUAGUGCAAAUAACAAAAGGAAAAAUAUUGCUCUAGUGACAUCAUUUUGGUUGGUUUUUCAAUAGGCUCCAGUGACAUCAUUUUAGCCACUUAUUUUUUUAGAAGCAAUCAUUUAAGCCUGUUUUAAAAAUAAAAAUAAAAACUUAUUUGUGGUUUAUAGCACAUGCGCUUAUCAUGAUAAGUGAUUAUCUAUAAGCUUACAUAAUCUGUUUCUAUGGCAAAAGAUAAAAUAAAAUUGUUUUCGUAUAUGCUAUAAGUUGUUUCCAUAAACUAUUUUGGAGAACUUACAAAAAAAAGCUUAUGAAAAAUGUCAUAAGCUAUUUUUAUAAGUUGUCCAAAACAGUAUCACAAAACUUAUGCCGGUAGAUAAGCUCAAGCCCUAAUGGGAUAACUUGUACAACUUUUCAUGAUUUGUUUCAAGAAGGAAAAUCAAACGGAACCGUAAAAACAGUUUGUAAAAACCAAGAGUUCAUGGUUUGUCAUGAACCAAACUUGUUUUAAGAUUCAGUGCACCAGGUUAUGCGCUUUUUGGACCAAUAUUGUUUUGAAUGGAGGCCAUGGUGCUGUCAUAGGCCGCAAUGGCGUGUUUAUUGGGGUUUUCUGCCAUAUUCCACACAACACUGUUUUGAAUAAAUAGGUUCUAUCUUUAUAGAACAGAGAUGUUACCUUUACGAACCGAACUGUAUCUUGACUAACCGAGAUGCCCCCAUAGGCUUGGUUUGUGUGUGUAGUACGCGGUAACAAUUUCCAGAUUUCAAUUUGAGUAUUAUGUUUUUCCAGAAUUGUGGGCAUACAGGAGUAAAGAGCAACAUCGGCAAAUUUAUUGGAUAGCCGUCAACUUAUUCUAGUCACUUAGUUGUUUGCUUCAUUAUGUGAAUACUUGUUCUCAAUUUAAAGCACUUAUGAAAGUUUAAAGUUUCUCUUUCAAAUCAUCAAAUACUGAGAGACUGAUUUAAUACAACUUUAUUGAAAGAACUAUAGGAAGAGUCUAUACAGAAAGAUGAUUUUUAUUUCUAUGAACAUAUAAUACAAGGAUAGAGUCUUUUAUUACAAUAUUAAUCAUGAAGACUCACUUAACUAUAAUACUCUAUUUCCGGUGACACUCUUCAAAGACCUCAUCAUGCAUGCUUUAUUUUCUUCACAUAAAUAUAGCAUAACAUGCAAGUUCAAGAUCACACGCAUUCAAUUCGCUUCUUAGCAACAAGACAGAGAGGAUUUUUCUUGUGUUGAAUAAGUCCGGCUUGACCAUGAGUGUCAAUGUCUUCCCUCUUAGCUCCUUCAGGCAUUUCCCAGUCAAAUGAACAGAGAAGAUUAGAAAGUACAAGGUCGAUGGUAGCAAUAGCCAUGUUUAAGCCGGGGCAAAUUCUUCGCCCAGAUCACCCUCUUACUCCAACCUCAACCUCAUCUAGUGAGUGUGGAUGUCAUCCAAACAAAUGGGGGUGUUGUCUUGAUCUUCAUUGCAAUCAUAAACGCACAUGGAAAUUUGUAAGCGAUGAAAAUUAAACAACGACACUUGGAUUUAUCCGUACUACAACCAACUACUCGAUCAACCUCGAUUGCAAGAUAAUGCAAAGCGUUCCUUGAUAUGUUUCGAAUCAACCUAGCCACAUCAACUUUCCUUUGAACCUAUGUUCAAGCAUGAUCAUGCUCGUCCGGAAGGAAGAAUGUAUUUGAGUAUGUUGUGACUCUAGCAUGUUGUGAAUGGAGUUCCAUUUUGUACUUAAUUCACCCAUACUACUAUAGUAAGAUACUUUUUUAACCGUCUGUGUGCAUAUUCUGCUCUGUUUGUUGUAGUAUUCCCCAUAUGUUUGACUUUAUUGAACCAAAACGUCACAACUUAUUCCUUCACCGAACCCAAAAUUUUAUUUUCAACAUAUUUCACAAACUUAGGAAAUUUGUGGCAUACAACUUUGAACCGGUUGCAAUUAUCAACAUAUGCUUGCUCUGUAUCAGAAUUCACGAUAUCCUCCCAUGCAACCAUAACCGUCUUCACCACCUCACUUGACUUGAUCUCUUUCCUAUCCUUGCCUUUUAAAUCCUUAACUUUGCAAUCUGUCUUACAUUUUGCUCUAACAUUUUUUUCAAUGUGAUGCUCACACAAGAGAGCAGUAGCUUCAAGGAAAACAAUAUACACAACAUUCAUCAAAGCAUUUUACUGAUUAGUGACAACUACUUUGGGUGAAAUAUCUUUGGAAUGCAACAGUUCACAACACCUGUCAUAAGACCAAGUAACAUUAUCUUCCUUCUCAUACAUCAUAUAACCAAAUCCACUAGAGAACAUGUACUCGGUAGAAGUGUUACCAACAAACUCAAGUAACGGAAGACGAUACUUGUUGGUCUUAUAAAUGGAACCCAUCACAAGCACCGUAGGCAACGUGUUAAACAACUUGAUACCAUGCAUUUAGGAAAAUAUCACUUACAUCAUCGGAAUCAUGAUAAUUCCUACGUGAUACAUGUACUCCUUCUCAACCAAUAAUUUCAAAAGAUGUUGCAUGUCUGUUCUCGUACCCCUAAUGGACUGCCUAUACCUGUGACAAGCAUUAUAAAUAUGCUUGAUAUUUGUUGAAGUUUUACUAUUCCUUUUCCUUAAGUUGGUAAGAAUUUUCCUCAGAUAAAUAUUUGAGUCCGUCAACUCAUGAAGGUAUAGGCUUUCAUUUGGGUUUAGACGUCCGACAAUUUUAUGACCUUUCAACACCUCUUCCAUGUCAUGGUUGUGUCUACCGUCACCAACUUGGAGGCUCCAAUCACCAACAAUCAACAAAUAACCUCUCAACCGAAACAAACACUCACAUUUAACCGAACCAGAUAUUUUGUGCCUCGUCAACUUCUUGUACUCCGUGUAUGGACCUCCUCUUUCACAUAUGACAAUAACACUCACAUUUAACCGAAUCAUCUAUAACUUCAAGGUCAACAACCGACAACACAUUAGGUGGUUCAAUAUUAGGUGGCAACUCAUUGGAGGCAUCAACAGAAACAUCCAUUACUGAAACAGUGCAAAAGCAUGGUCAGAAAAUGCAGUCACUUUAUGCACUGGUGUUGUUCUUGAAGUAGGGAUAGCUAUUCAGCUAUUGAAAUCUCAUGGUAUGUGUGUUAUGUAUAUCCGCUAAUAUAUAGACAACACCAACUAUUAGAAAAGAUUUAGAGAUUAAAGAGUUGAAUAAUUUGGUUUUGGAUAGAACAUUAUCCAUAAUUUAAUCUGUGUAGCUGACUAUACUUAAUGGGAUAGACCUGAUUAUUGUUGGUGUUGCUUUGAUUUUGGAUAGAACAUUAUCCAUAAUUUAAUCUAUGUAGCUGACUGUACUUAAUGAGAUAGACUUGAUUAUUGUUGUUGUUGCGUCAGUACUAUUUUAUUCCUUAUUUAUCACACUCUAAAUCAUUAAGAUAUACACACCACUGACUUCUUUAAGACACUUUAUAAUAUGUGUCAUCGCCAUUAAAGUUACAAUAUUAUUUUAAAUUGUUUUUGUCUCAUUCCAUUUUGAACACAUCAGUAUGGGAUGAAUAUAGACACAAAAGCAAACAUAAACAAGUCAAUAUUAUUUAUUAUCUUUUGUCAACAAAAAAAAAAAUACUAUUUAUUAUCUAUUUAUCACACUUUUUUUUGAAGAAACUAUCUAUUUAUCACACUUUAAAUGAGUAAACUACCAAUUUUGUCUUAAUCUUUAUAAUUUUUAAAUGAGUAAAUCAUCAAUUUUGUCUUGGUCUUUAUAAGUGAUUCACUAAUUAGUCUCUGACUCUACUAAUAUUUCAAAAUAGUCCUCGUCUUUGUCAAAAGUUUCUCAAUUAAGUUCCUCGUAUGUGAAAAAAAUAAUAGAAAUAUGAGUCUAAUUGAAAAACAUUUGACAAUAUUUCUAAAUAGUCUAUGUCUUUGUCAAAAGUUUCUCCAUUAAACCCAUAUUUCUAUGUUUUUUUCGCAUGACGAGAGACUUAAUUGAGAAAACUUUUGACAAAAGCAGAGACUAUUUUAAAAUAUUAGUAGAGUCGGGGGCUAAUUUGAGAAUCACUUACAAAGACAGGACCGAUUUGAUUAUUUACUCCACUUCAAAUCCUUUAAUGUAGACACCACCAACUCUUUUAAGAGCAUCCACAAUGGUAGUAACUAAUAGGGACUCCUUAAACGAGCUUCACAUGUACACAUUAUUUAUUUAUAAUUUUUUAAUAAAAGUAUCUAUUAAAGAUUCAAUGACUCUAAAGACAAUACACUAAUAUGGAUUACAAAUAAUGUAACAGGUACGUUGCAUGACAAAUUUCUUCUCCAUGAUUGUAAUGCUACAAAUUCAAUUGAUAUUCCGAAAGCAAGUUCUUUUCAUUAGGAAAUAUAUAUACAUUGGUUGUUUUCCGGACAGAUACAUGGAAUUUCAUCGAAUAGAUUAAAUUAUAGAUAGUGCAAAUAACAAAAGGAAAAAUAUUGCUCUAGUGACAUCAUUUUGGUUGGGUUUUCAAUAGGCUCCAGUGACAUCCAUUUUAUCCAUAAUUUUUUUUAGAAGACAUCAUUUAAGCCCUGUUUGAAUAAACCAUUUAUUCGCAGCUUAUAGCACAAGUGCUUAUCAUGAUAAAUGAUUAUCUAUAAGCUUACAUAAGCUGUUUCUAUGGCAAAAGAUAAAAUUAAAUUGUUUUGGUAUAUGCUAUAAGUUGUUUCCGUAAACUAUUUUGGAGAACUUGCAACUUUUCAUUGGCUGCAAUGGUGUGUUUAUUGGAGUUUUCUGCCAUAUUCCACCAUCCGUCAUCGACAACACUGUUUUGACUAAACAGGUUCUACAUUUAUAGAACAGAGAUGUUACCUUUGCAAACCGAACUGUUUUCUUGACUAACCAAGUUGCGAACCGAACUGUUUUGUGUGUAGUACAUGGUAACAAUUUCCAAAAUUCAAUUUGAGUAGUAUGUUUUUGCAGAAUUGCAGGCAUACAGGCGUAAAGAACAACAUCGGCGAAUUAUUGGAUAGCCGUCGACUUAUUCUAGUCACUUAGUUGUUUGCUUCAUAAUGUGAAUAUUUGUUCUCAAUUUAAAGCACUUAUGAAAGUUUACAGUUUCUCUUUCAAAUCAUCAAAUACUGAGAAGCUGAUUUAAUACAACUUUAUUGAAAGAAGGAAAAUGUAUAGAGAUACAAGAAAGAAAAACAACUGCUGAAAUCAAAGGGAACUACUUUGAAAAAUAACAUUCAAAAUCAACACAUCAUUUGUAGAACAUGGUCAUCGACUGAGUGAAAAACUAUUUAUAGGAUAAAACCUUAAUGUUCUUCACCAUUUCUCGACUCUCAGACUUCUUACAACAUGACAUAUCAGAUCAAAAUCAUCCUAUUUACCACUCCCCUGAACUACAAAGGAAUAGUUAAUACAGCAAGAUGAAUUUUAUUUCUUUGAACAUAUAAUACCACAUUAGAGUCUUUUAUUAUAAUAUUGAAUAUGAAGACUCACUUAACUAUAACAUGCAAUUUCAAGAUCACACGCAUUCAAUUCGCUUCUUAGCAACAAGACAGAGAGGAUUUUUCUUGUGUUGAAUAAGUCCGGCUUGACCAUGAGUGUCAAUGUCUUCCCUCUUAGCUCCUUCAGGCAUUUCCCAAUCAAAUGAAUAGAGAAGAUUAGAAAGUACAAGGUCGAUGGUAGCAAUAGCCAUGUUUAAGCCGGGGCAAAUUCUUCGCCCAGAACCAAACGGAAUCAGCUCAAAAUCUUGUCCUUUUAAAUCUAUAUCACUUCCUAUGAAUCUCUCUGGAUAAAACUCUUCUGGAUCCUUCCAUACUUCUGGGUCUCUAUGGAUCGCCAAUGCAUUCACGUACACCAAUGUCUUGUCUGGAAUGUCGUACCCUGCAAUGUUGCAAUUUGUCAUUGUUUCUCUUGGUAAAAGUAUAGGCAAAAUUGGGUACAAUCUCAUUGAUUCUUUUAUAACGGCCUUGAAAUAUGGAAGCUUUUCGACAUCUUCUUCCUCUAUAAAACCUUUCCCUGCACACACUUUCCGAAUCUCUUCUUGUACUUUCUGCAUCGCUCUUGGAUUCUUCAUUAGUGCAGUCAUAGCCCAGACUACCGCUGCCGCAAUUGUUUCUGUCACAGCAAACGACAUAUUCUGCAAUAUUGGACAAGUUUCAAUAUGUUUCAUGAACUAUUCUGCAAAGAUAAAAUGUUUUGAAAUUGAACCAAGAUGAAGGCUUAAUAAGAGUGAAGAAUAAAAAUAAUUAAAAAAAACAUUAACCAUGAUCAAGGGCUUGAUGUGUUCUGCAGUGAGAUCCAUUGAGCAGUAAGGAUCAUUCUUCAGUUCAAUCAAGGCAUCAAUAACAUCAUCCUCAUGUGGAGGCAACUUCUUCCUUUCUGGAUCAAGAUGUUCAUCAACAAUACUUUGAUAAAGUUCAUCUGAAACCUUGAACGUUUUCUCAAGGCGACUCGUCUUUCCGGUGAGUUUAUCAACAAUCCCUCCAACAAAGGGCAAAUAAUCCGCGUAAAAGAACGAAAUUAGCAAAUCCUGAACUUCUUUAUGCAGACCUUGAAACAUGCUACGCUCAAUUCCUUCCCCUUCAUACCUUCUGCCGAAGGCGGUCUUACAAACUAAAGUACUUGUAAGACAAGUAAGAAGAUCCUGCAUGUUCAUAACUUUGUUGGAAGAAGCAUUUUCUGAUAUCUUCUUGAUCAUUCGUGUCACCUCAUCUUUUCUAACUGAGUAAAACAUUGAGACUCUUUUGACACUAAGAAAAUGAAUAAAGGAAAGUUUUUUUGUGUGUCUCCAAUAUUCUCUAUAUGGUGCAAAUAUUUGAUCUAAUCCAUUAUAUGAUAUUUUCAUAUGGCUGAUUAACGCGGGUCGGUUACAGAAUUCGAUAUCAUGUGUUUUCAUUACUUCUUUGGCCAUUUUUGCUGAUGAAACAACGACUGUUUGCUUUGAACCAAGUUUAAGGGAGAUUAUAGGGCCAUAUUUCUUAGAGAGUUCAUAGAAAUUUAAACCAAGAACUGAACUAUCAAGUUGGUGUAAGUUUCCAAUGAAAGGAAGGCCUUUAGGACCUGGUGGAAGAGUUGUUGAUUUCUUAGAUGUUUUGUGUUUUUUGAACAAGAAGAAUAGCAAGAGAGCAAAGGGUAAAAGAAUAAGGGGUGACAUGUUUUUGUUCAUGAAUUAGGGAUAGCUAUUCAGCUAUUGUAAUAUAUAGAUAGACACCACCAACUCUUUUUAAGGCCCUUCACUUAUAGUUUUAGAUAAGAACAUUACGUCAUAAUUUGAUCCAUGUAUCUGACUGUACUUAACGGAUAAGGUUUGAUUGUUUUUAUCACAUUCCAUUUUGAAUACAUCACUAUGGGACGAAUAUAAACACGAAAAGCAAACAUCAGCCAGUCAAUACUAUUUAUUAUUAUUUAUUACCUUGAAAUGAGUAAACCUCUUUUUGAAUACAUCAGAAUGGAUCGAAUAUAGACACAAAAAACAAACAUCAGCCAUUAAUACUAAUUAUUAUUAUUUAUUAUUACCCUUAAAAUGACUAAACCACUUUUUUAAUACAUUAGUAUGGGACGAAUAUAGACAUGAAAAGCAAACAUCAACUAAUUAAUACUAUUUAUUAUUACCCUUGAAAUGAGUAAACCACUUUUUGAAUACAUCAGUAUGGGACGAAUUUAGACACGAAAAGCAAACAUCUGCCAGUUAAUACUAUUUAUUAUUAUUUAUUAUUAUCCUCGAAAUGAGUAAAUCACUUUUUGAAUAAAUCAGUAUGUGACGAAUGUAGACACGAAAAGCAAACAUCAACCAGUUAAUACUAUUUAUAAUUACCCUUGAAAUGAGUAAACCACUUUUUGAAUACAUCAGUAUGGGAUGAAUAUAGACACGAAAAGCAAACAUCAGCUGGUUAAUACUAUUUAUUAUUAUUUAUUAUUACACUUGAAAUGAUUAAACCACUUUUUGAAUGCAUCAGUAUGGGACGAAUAUAGACACGAAAAGCGAACAUCAGCAAGUUAAUACUAUUUAUAAUUAUUUAUUAUUACCCUUGAAAUGAGUAAACCACUUUUUGAAUACAUCAGUAUGGGACGAAUUUAGACACGAAAAGCAAACAUCAACCAGUUAAUACUAUUUAUUAUUAUUAAUUAGGCUAAACUGCACUUUUCGCCCCCUAUGUUUCAUAAUGUUGCAAUUUUGGCCCCCUAUUAAAAAAAUAGCAAUUUUGGCCCCUUUCAUCCCAAAAUUGCUCAGAAGAUGCCACGUGUCCCAGAAAAGGGGUCAUAAUCGCAAUUUUUUGUAAAGAUAAGGGGUCAAAAAACAUAUUUCCCUUAUGUUAAGGGGUCAAAAGAGCAUAUUUCCCUAAACAUAGGGGGUCACUUUUGCCAUUUUUUUUAAUAGGGGGCGAAAAGUGGAGUUUAGCCUAUUAAUUAUUAUCCUUGAAAUGAGUAAACCACUUUUUGAAUACAUAAGUAUGGGACGAAUGUAGAGACGAAAAGCAAACAUCAGCCAGUCAAUACUAUUUAUUACUCCAUCCGUUUCAAAAUAAGUGUCAUUUUAGCCAAAAAAAAUUAUUUUAAAAUGAAUGUCACUCUCAAUUUUCAAUUCAAUAAUAACAAUUGUUUCAAAAAUUGUUAAAAAUUAUUGUACAUAUAUUAUUCCUCUUUUUAUUAUUUGAUUCUCACACUCUAAAUUAAACAAAUAUUGAGAUAUCAAUUUGUCCAAAAAAUAAAUAAAUAUCGACAUGUCAAUGCUAUUUUAUUAUUUAUUUAUCACACCGUAAAUCUCCGAAAACAAUCAGCUUGCACAAAACUGCAUGUCUUCGUGGAUUCAACAUUUUUUUCAAGAUGUAAAAUUAUGUAAAAGACAACGAGGUUAAAAUUAUAUCAAUAUGCAUAUAUAUAUAUAUAUAUAUAUAUAUAUAUGGGGUUUGCUAACUUAGACCAACAAAAAAAUAAGAAGGUCUAAGUUAGCAAAAAUGCACUUUUUCAUUUGGACAAAAAAAUAAAUAUCCACUUGUGUAAACCAAUUUAAAGUAAGGGAUGAUUUAGUAAAUAUCCCUCAAGCUAUUUGUUAUAAAAUAAAAGUGGGUCUAAGUUAGCAAGCAAAUUGGUGUAAGUUAACAAACAUGUUUAAAUUACUAAAGUAACCCUCAAACUAUUUGUAAUAAAAUAAAAGUGGGUCUAAGUUAGCAAAUUGGUGCAAGUUAACAAAUAAGUUUUAAUGAAAAUUACUAAAAGAUUAUCAACUUUUUAAUUAUAACUUGCUAAAAGACACUUUAAUAAAAAUUAGUUGGUGUCUUUUCGGAAAUGCCUAUAAGUUAACUUGCUAAAAUACACCUUCAUAAAAGGUGUCUUCUAGCAAAACCCCCCUAUAUAUAUAUAUAUAUAUAUAUAUAUAUAUAUAUAUAUAUAUAUAUAUAUAUAUACACACCAAAAAAGUUGAAUUUAUAUCAUUACACAUUUCACCAAAUGAUAUACAUUUCAACUAACGAUAUACAUUUAAUCUAAUCUGCCCCAAGAUCUAUGCUAACAUCAUCAAGGUUAUAGCUUUUAUCAUUUUCAAUCUUCACACCAUCUUCAACCUUCUUCUCAACAUCAAGCUUCUUUACAGGAUUAAGAUUUUCAAUAAUGUACAAAUCUUCAUCAUCUCUUAUCACCUCAUAACCUGCCGCCCGAGGUAGUUCAUUAUAGUCAACCAUCCGUCUGAUAUAUCUAUCAGGCUAUCUUUUUGCAUCAUCUCGAGAGUGUUGUCUCCAUAGCGGGCAAGUGGGAGGAAUUGGACAACCAUCAUUCAAAUAUAUUAUCAUAAAAUGGUUGUCAUUUGAUGAGAUAAAACAACAAGUGCACGGUUAUAUCGAAGUAGUAAAAAUAGAGUAUCGUUCCGACAGGGAGUUAUGAAUUCAAUUAACUUUAGAUAAUGAUUAGACUGAAGAUUUAUAAGGUAGAAAGGUUUGGGUUUUUUAAUUAAAUAAUAAAAGAAAAGAUAAAAGCCUUGGGAUUAUUGGUUCAUCUAAAUGAUAAGUCCUUCACAAACCAAACUAUAAGCUUAUAACUUUAUGUUAGACCUAAUUUUUCAAGACAGUUUCUCUUUUGUUCCUCUAGCAACCAAGCCUAUUUCGCUGACUUGAUUACUAUUAGAUUUUGGUUCCUCUAACAACCAAACCUAUUUCGCUGACUUGAUCAUUAUUAGUUCCCUUGAAGAUCGAAACUAUAUGUCUCAAAGAUUUCAAAGACUAUUUCGCUGCCUUUGAAACCCUUGUCUAAAUUCACUUGUUCGAAUAUCAAAGCUCCACUUUCGUUUUAUGAAUUGAUAUUUGAGAUGAUGGAUAAACAAUUAUCAAACCCUCCACUUUCGUUUCCACAGUUUGAUAAUGGUUGAUCCAUGUUAAAGCGGUGAAUUUAGAUAAGAAAUUAGGGUUACAUAAGAUUAAGGCUUAGAGUUUGGUUUGAUUAGGAUUAUGUCAUUUAGACUUAUCCAACAAUCCCAAGACAAAGAGAAGUCUACUCACUAACGUUCAUUGUAGACAUAGAGAAGAAGAGAGAAAACAUAAAAGUAAAUAAUAAGAAAGUAAAGGUGAACUUUUAUUCAAAGAAAAAAUUGUCACUUAUUAUUUCAGCAAAAGAUGAAUAUUUGUGAUGGCUAGCUACUCUAUUUAUAGCAUACAUUCGACUUAAAAUCUAAGCAAUUACAUUACUAGAAUGUUCCACAAGAAACUGCGGGAUAAAAUAGAGUAGCUUAAAAUCUAAGCAAAAGCAGCAAAAGUGACUCUAGAAGGUGGCACGGCCGUGCCAAUGCUAGCACGGGUCGUGCCAAGCUUCUGACUUUGGGGGAGACAUAUUUUUGUCUCCGAAUCUUCGUAUUUUCGUACUGAAUCAGCUCCAAGUCCCUUUCUUUUGCUCCAAGACUCAAUCCAUCCAAUAUUCGUUCCUGAAAUAUAAUAAAAUGCAAUUUGUAGUAAACUAUCUCAAAAAGGAAAUAAUACUAAUAUAAAAUAAACUUAAAUCUAAUUAAAAUUAAACUAAAUAACAUAUUAAAAUGGAUAAUAAAUGACUCAUCAUCAUUCACAUGUGUCAGACACAUCAAUCAGCCUCUAUGUUAUGGUGCACCACAUAGAGGGAAAUAGGGUUCCAAUCACCCUUUCGCAAUAGACAGUAGAACCACCACAUGUUUGUAUCUCUGUACAAUGAGGAAACUCAUAUCCUGCAUGGUCAUCCAUUUAUCCAGUGGUGCAGGACCAAUAUCGAAAUAAGUUAUAGCGUCUAAGACCUGUUUAUAUCGCCUAUCUACCCCAAUCAUCUAUCGAUAGCACGCAUUUUCUUCAUCGAUAAGCUCUUUGUGGAGUUGGUAAUAGAUCAACUUGCGCGCAUCAACAUACAUGUCACGUAGGUCCGCAACGGCACGAACCCCACAAUGGCCAUCACCAGCUACAUCCACCUCCUUUUCAAUAAAUUCAUGCAUCCAAUAUGGGAUUUGGUCUUUGUGUGGUAUGUUGACUUUAACCAGAAUUGGCUUAGGAGGAUUAGGAGACAUGUUGCUUUUCCGUGCACUUUCUCUACUUGUCCCUGUUGAAUUUUUUAUGUGAAGCAUGUGUUUGUUGAUCCUGGGAGUCAACAAUCUCCCAGAGCGAAGGUGGUCAUUUUGUUGACUAAAUGAUAUGUUUAUUUUUCUUUGGAGCUCCUUUAGGGUGACUUUUUUUGGCGGUCGACGCAUAGAGGUCAUCUCCUGCAAAGAAAACUGUCGAAAUUGUUCUUUGAUGCGCACCUUCAUGUUGUAAUCAACAUCCUUGAAUCGGGCCUACAAUACGUACAAAAAUCUGUCAGGUGGAAUGUUGUUGAAAUCUAAGAAAAAAUGCGUUAUGUUUUGUCGUGUGACUAUUCGGAUUUUAUAAUCUGAAACAUCUCAACACCCCCCCCCCCCCCCCAAAUACGUCAUAAUCUAAAUUCACGCAAACCAAGUAUGUCUGCAUGGUGCUUAAAUGAAAAAAUUUCGGAUUAUAUAAUCCAAAAUUAAUUUAAUAGCUUUUCAUAUUAUAUAAUUUGAAUUCAAUCAGUACAGAAAUAGGAAGUAAAAUCCUGGGUAAAACCAAACACAAUUUUUAUAGAAAAAUACCUGAAGCAAAUCUUAUUAUGGUAACAUAGAGAUGUCUGCCUUCUUAUCCUUAAGAUCACCCUCUUACUCGAACCUCAACCUCAUCUAGUGAGUGUGGAUGUCAUCCAAACAAAUGGGGGUGUUGUUCUUGAUCUUCAUUGCAAUUGUACACGCACAUGGAAAUCUGUAAGCGAUGAAAAUUAAACAACCACACUUGUAUUUAUCCGUACUACAACCACCUACUUGAUCAACCUCGAUUGCAAGAUAAUGCAAAGCGUUCCUUGGUAUGUUUUGAAUCAACCUAGCCACAACAACUUUCCUUUGAACCUAUGUUCAAGCAUGAUCAUGCUCGUCUGGAAGGAAGCAUGUAUUUGAGUAUGUUGUGACUAGCAUGUUGUGAACGGAGUUCCAUUUUGUACUUAAUUCACCCAUACUACUAUAGUAAGAUACUUUUUCAACCGUCUAUGUGCAUAUUCUGCUCUGUUUGUUGUAGUAUUCCCCAUAUGCUUGACUUUAUUGAACCAAAACUUCACAACUUAUUCCUUCACCGAACCCAAAAUUGUAUUUUUCAACAUAUUCAAAAAAUUUAGGAAAUUUGUGGCAUACAACUUUGAACCGGUUACAAUUAUCAACAUAUGUUUGCUCUGUAUCAGAAUUCAUGAUAUCCUCCCAUGCAACCAUAACCAUCUUCACCACCUCACUUGACUUGAUCUCUUUCCCAUCCUUGCCUUUUAAAUCCUUAACUUUGCAAUUCGUCUUACAUUUUUCUCUAACAUUUUUUUAAUGUGAUACUCACACAAGAGAGCAGUAGCUUCAAGGAAAACAAUAUACACAACAUUCAUCAAAGCAUGUUACUGAUUAGUGACAACUACUUUGGGUGAAAUAUCUUUGGAAUGCAACAGUUCACGACACCUGUCAUGAGACACAUUAUCUUCCUUCUCAUACAUCAUAUAACCAAAUCCAAUAGAGAAUGUAACACCCCGUUUUCCCAACUUAAAAAUUUCAUAAUUAUUUAUCAGAGUAAACAACAUUUAACAGAAUGCUACACUUCUAAAAUAUAAUAAAUGAGAUAAUUAACUAAUCAUCCUUCCAAAAAUCAGCAACAUAUUAUUUCAAACUUUGCAGCGGAUUAAAUUCAUUAACAUAGAUAAGUCUUUGGCACGCAUGCCUUAUUAAAACAUAAACAAUACGUAAAGGAAUAGAAAAUAGCCACAAAAGAUCCCAUCCUAUUACGUAUCAGAGCAUCCUAAGACUCAGUGAGGAAUAAGUCACUCACGAUAGCAUCAUCAACAACCUACUAACGAUCACCUGCAAGUUACUCAUAGGAAGAGCAACAUUUCCAAGCAGAAGGGGUGAGAUUUCACAAAACAAUAAUAUUAAGCAUAUAAUUCAACAAUUAUAUUUAAUCAACAUCAAAUCAUCUUAAUAUUCAUUAUAAAUAGUAAUAUAUCAUUUAACACUUCAAUCAUAGUUCGUAUAAACAAUUACAACUUCACAACUUAACAACAUAAACAUCCUUGACUCGACAAAUGCGACUUCAACUCGAUUAUGCAACUUAGACCUCUUAUAUGCAUGUGGUACCAAUACAGAGCAUCAAACCCCUAUCGCUAUUUGAGUAUUAAUAUACUCCAGAGCAUCAAGCCCCUAUCGCUAUUUGAGUAUUAAUAUACUCCAGAGCAUCAAGCCCCUAUCGCUAUUUAAGUAUUAAUAUACUCCAGAGCAUCAAGCUCCCAACAAAGAAUGCUAAUGCAUGGACUCGACUUCUUAAACAUCUUAAAUCGACAACUCUUGUAUAAUCCAAUAAUUUGGAACUUCAUCAUCUUAAUCAACUUAGACCGACUCAUGCAACUUAGUUAAAUAACAACAGCAAAACAGUAGUAUACAAAAACAGCAUGACAUAAUAAUAUCAAAUGCAAGUCAAUCAACGUAUCAAUUAUUCACAAAUAAUUUAAUUAAUGCAUAUAAAAUUAUAUCACAAUAUAACAACAUCAAAUCACCAUAAAUCAGCUUCGCAGAUCAUCGUUAAUAUUAUAAAUAAUAUUCAUAACUAUCCUAAGGAUCAACUCACAACAAAAAGCAUGUAAUGAUAGUUUCUAUAUUUUAAGAAAAACCAAUUAAAAUUCAAAGCAAUUGCGGCAGACUUGGCAACAGAGGAGGAAUAAUGCGCAUUGCCAAGUGAAUUAGUGCCUACAUGUACAUUAUGUAGACUAGAUGCAUUACUACCUUUGUAAUCUAACCCAAGUAGGCUAACUAGUUGAAAACCACAUAUUCUCUCUUAAUUAUUGAAAACAAAUCAAACUGGAAGGUGUACUUAUCUAUAGGGACAAUUUCUAUAUCAUAUUAUGCAUUCACGUAAAGAAAAAAAAAGGAAAAAAAGAAAGAUUGCAUCACAUGGUCAUAACGAGUUGACUAAGACUUCCAGCCUCAAUUUUGUAUAACUGAACUCUAAUACACAAUGGAAUUAUACUAGUUAAUCCUUCAAAUAAAAUCAGGUAGCAAUAUGAUACGUGGGUCAAGGCUGGCAGAAGCAUCAAACAAUUCCAUAGUGAAAAUCGAAACAGAGAGGUAGCAACGACACAGGAACACUAAUGUUAAAUAAAUUGGGAUGAGUUAAUAUUGGAUUUCUCUAAUCACAACAACACUAAUAACAACUUAGUUUCUUCACUUUCAUAUACCUCUUAACAUAGCAAGAACACAAAUUAUGAAUUCAUCAUCAUUCGAAAACCAAAAUCAUGAUUUUUCAUCACUUUAAGCAAAAAUCCCAAAAACCACUUAUUAUGAAUCAAAAGCAUGAAUAUGAACAUGUUAAUUCACCAAUUCAAGAAAAUUAGUAUACACAUAAUUACCCACUAAUUAGGAGUACGAAUUUCACAAAAUAAAAUCAUCAAUUCAUCAAUUCAACAAGUUUCCAUCAUCUAAUCAUCAAUUCCUCACUUUUAACCUAAUUCUUCAAUUCUCAAAACUAAAUCUCCAACAUGUUAAAUCUAAUUAUCAGAAUCAUAGGCUUAAGAAGAUUGAAUGUUACUCACCCUUACCUUAGAAUAAGAAAAUCGCAGCCUCUAUGUGUUUCUCCCUUCUCUUGGCUUUUUCUACCUUUUCUCCAAAAUUGGUCGUACGUUCUAUUUUUCUAAACUAGGUGUCUCCUAUUUAUAAUCUUUUUUUCUAUUUUAUCUUAUUUCUCUUUCUUCCCCAAAACUCUCUAAAAUCUCAUAACAACCCCACAUCUCAAUAUUUAUUUUAUUUUCAAAUCUUAUUCUAUUAAAUACUAAAAUAAGCCACUUAAUAAAUCACAUAAUCAUUUAAAUAUAUUCUAAACUCAUUAAAAAUAAUCAAAUAAAACAAAUAAUUCAAAGAGGACGUUACAGAGAACAUGUACUCGGUAGAAGUGUUACCAACAAACUCAAGUAACGGAAGACGGUACUUGUUGGUCUUAUAAAUGGAACCCAUCACAAGCACCGUAGGCAACGUGUUAAUUAAAUUGAUACCAUUUGGAUGUGCUUGGAAAAUAUCACUUACAUCAUCGGAAUCAUGAUACUUCCUACGUGAUACAUGUACUCCUUCUCAACCAAUUAUUCCAAAAGAUGUUGCAUGCUUGUUCUCAUACCCCUAAUGGAUUCCCUAUACCAGUGACAAGCAUUAUAAAUAUGCUUGAUAAUUGUUGAAGUUUUACUAUUCCUUUUCCUUAAGUUGGUAAGAAUUUUCCUCGAAUGAAUAUUUGAGUCCGUCAACUCAUGAAGGUAUAGGCUUUCAUUUGGGUUUAGAUGUCCGACGAUUUUAUGACCUUUCAACACCUCUUCCAUGUCAUGGUUGUGUCUACCGUCACCAACUUGGAGGCUCCAAUCACCAACAAUCAACAAAUAACGUCUCAGCCGAAACAAACACUCACAUUUAAUCGAACCAGAUAUUUUGUGCCUCGUCAACUUCUUGUACUCCGUUUAUGAACCUCCUCUUUCACAUAUCACAAUAUAUAACAAAUGCAUUUAUCCCAUUUCCACCUCUAUCUGAUUUACCAAUAACGGUUCAAAAUCCUAGCUUCCUCUCGAAGCCACUUGAAAAAAUCGUUAUGCAUAGAAAACUUUGUUUGAUGGUAAAAUUUUCUUGAUGAUCAAUAGAAACAACAACAUCUUGAGGUACAACAAUCGAAGGAGCAUUCUCUGCUUUCGCAUUGCCGGAAGGAAUGUCAACUUUCGGUGGAGGUACCUCGGGUUUGGCAUUUUGAGAAUCAUCUAUAACUUCAAGUGCAACAACCGACAACACAUUAGGUGGUUCAAUAUUAGGUGGCAAUUCAUUGGAGGCAUCAAUAGAAACAUCUAUUACUGAAACAGUGCGAAAGCAUGGUCAGAAAAUGCAAGCACUUUAUGUACUGGUGUUGUUCGGAUUAUACUAUUUGAAACAGAUUGUUGGUUUUCAUAUUGGAUAUUCCAAAAUGUGUCUGUACAGAUUCAUUGACGUGAUCAAAAGGAAAACACCUAGAAAUCGAAUGAGGGAGGUUUUAUAUAAUCAUUACAUUUGCAUUCACACGAAAAUGAUGUUGUAAACGCCUCUUGAUGACCAGAUUGCUACUCUAAAUCACGUUUUCGCUUAAAAUGGUGUGUUUUUAGCGGUUAGGGAGUGUUUGGUGAUAAAGGUGGUGAACUUCAGCUAGGUCCUAGACACACCUUAUAUAUAUAUAUAUAUAUAUAUAUAUAUAUAUAUAUAUAUAUAUAUAUAUAUAUAUAUAUAUAUAUAUGUUAGAUUUUAGAAUUCAAAAUAAUCGGAUACUUUUCCCACUUUGUAAAAGUGGAUAUUUCGGAUUAUACAUUCUGAAAUGUAUAAAUAAAAUUUGGAUUGUAUAAUCUGAAGGUUGUUUCACCCUAUUUAUGUCAAGGAUGUAUGUCAGUUAUGCUGGCCUUCAGUUUCCCUAGUUUUUUUUGACACAUUUCGGAUUUUAGAAUUCAAACUAAAUUCGGGUUCUAAAAUCCGAACAAAGGGUAAUUUGGGAAGAAAAAAAUAGGGCGCACGAGAAUAGCAUAGGGUGAAAAAAGAAAUAGUCAUGUAGUAAAGCCCUCAAGUUCUACUGACUUAAAAACUUAAAGGGUCCAAUAUAAUAGGCCCAUACUAACCUAUUAUCUAACGGAUAUUGCUUUUCUCACUUCAAAAGUUUCCUAACCACACAUCAAAAUGACGCAAAUACCUCUGACGAUAGUUAACUACCGCUAAGUAAAUCAAUAGCAGUUAAUUACCGCUGUAUCAAUUACAAUUAACUACCGCUGGGCCAGAGCAUCAAUUGUGAUUUUGCGUGUUUCGAUAAAAAAAUCAAAAUAAAUCGAUGUUUAUUCGGAAUGCUACAAAACUUUGCAGACCCACUAUAUGUAUUUUUAUAUAGUUGUCUGUGAAGUUUUGUAGCAUUCCGACUAAGUCUAGAUUUAUUUUGAUUUUUGACCGAACUGCACAAUUUUUUUCAUGUGCGCGUUCGGAAAAGUGACCUAGAGGUUGAAUUUUUUCACCAUUUUUUGCAUGCAUGUUUAGAAAAAAAAAUAUCUCCCACAAAAAAUUGAAUUUUCCGACAACAGACAGGUUAAAUAUGAAUUUUUAACUACUAUCGAUUUUUAACUAUUUUUUUCACACAAUUUGGCAUUGAAAUACACUAAUUUAUUUUUUUUUGUCGAAAUUGUAAUUUUGAUGCUCUGUCCCAGCGGUGGUUAAGUGUAGUUGACCAAUCGGUAGUUAAUUGUUGACGAUUUGCUCAGCGGUAGUUAACUACUGUCGGGGGUAUUUGCAUCAUUUCGAUAUGUGUUUAAGAAACUAUUGAGGUGAGAAAAGCAAUUUUCUUAUCUAACAUGACCUUGUGUUUUUGUUAAACUACUAUGUCAUAUACCACUUGGUCCUUUAGUUAGGGAAGAAGUUAGUUAGUGCAUUUGAACCUCCAAGUUCUUCAUACUUACUCCUUGAUUUUGUGUAUGAGCUUUUGUCUCACUAGAAAAUGUUUUGCAUUCAUUCAUAAAAGCCUUUAAAAUAGCCAUUAGAGAAGCAGCUUCCUUGAUUUUGUGCAGCUAUUGAAAUCUCAUGGUAUUUGAGUUAUGUAUAUCCGCUAAUAUAUAGACACCACCGACUAUUAGAAAAGAUAUAGAGAUUAACGAGUUGAAUGUAAAUUUAGUUUUGGAUAGAACAUUAUCCAUAAUUUAAUCUGUGUAGCUGACUGUACUUAAUAGGAUAGACCUGAUUACUGUUGAUUUUGCUUUGGUUUUGGAUAGAACAUUAUCCAUAAUUUAAUCUAUGUAGCUGACUGUACUUAAUGGGAUAAUCUUGAUUAUUGUUGUUGUUGCGUCAGUACUAUUUUAUUCUUUAUUUGUCACACUCUAAAUCCUUAAGAUAUACACACCACUAACUUCUUUAAGGCACUUUAUAAUAUGUGUCAUCACCAUUAAAGUUACAAUAUUAUUUUAAAUUGUUUUUGUCUCAUUCUAUUUUGAAUACAUCAGUAUGGGACGAAUAUAGACAUGAAAACAAACAUCAGCAAGUCAAUACUAUUUAUUAUCUAUUUAUCACACUUUAAAUGAGUAAACUACCAAUUUUGUCUUAAUCUUUAAAAAUUUUAAAUAAUUUUGUCUUAGUCUUUAUAAGUGAAUCACUGAUUAGUCUCUAACUCUAUUAAUAUUUCAAAAUAGUCAUUGUCUUUGUCAAAAGUUUCUCAAUUAAGUUCCUCGUAUGUGAAAAAAAAAAAUAGAAACAUGAGUCUAAUUGAAAAACGUUUGACAAUAUUUCUAUAUAGUCUAUGUCUUUGUCAAAAGUUUCUCCAUUAAACCUAUGUUUCUAUGUUUUUUUCGCAUGACGAAAGACUUAAUUGAGAAAAAUUUUGAUAAAGACAGAGACUAUUUUAAAAUAUUAAUAGAGUCGGGGGCUAAUUUAAGAAUCACUUACAAAGACAGGACCAAUUUGAUUAUUUACUCCACUUCAAAUCCUUUAAUGUAGACACCACCAACUCUUUUAAGAGCAUCCACAAUGGUAGUACACUAAUAGGGACUCCUUAAAUGAGUUUGACAUGUACACAUUAUUUAUUUAUAAUUUUUUAAUAAAAGUAUCUAUUAAGGACUUAAUGACUCUAAUGACAAUACACUAAUAUGGAUUCCAAUGAAAAAUACUUAAAUAUGUCCCACUAACUUUACAUCAUUAUACAAAAGUAAUUUAUUUAUUACAUUAUAAAUUACCUCAUAAAAUAUUUCUUUUAAAAGUGGAACGAACUUAUACAUAUUUUAUUCAUUUUUCUAAACUUGGGACCAGUUAAUUUCUAAGAAGAGAAAAUCCUUAAAUAAUUGUAUGUUACUUAUUAGAUGCUUUUUUUUCUUCCUUUAAAUGAAUGUCCUUAACAGAGAGUGAUCCUUAUUAAGCAAGGACCUCGCAUUAGCGAUGCUCUAAGACACUUUCUCUUAUAUGUCAACUUUUCAAAUCUAUCAAAUACAAAAGUUACAAUAUCAUAAAGUUAACAUUCAACAUCACUCAAGAGAACACACAUUAAAAUAAAAUAUUUUUUUAAUUUUUUUCCAACUCAUUUGAUUUUUUUCUAAAAUUCAACUCAUUUAAUUUUUUAAUUUUUUACUCAAGGGAUUUUUUUCGGACGCGCACGUGGAAAAAAAAUUGUAAUUUUGAUGCUCCGUCCCAGCGGUGGUUAAGUGUAGUUGAUCCAUCGGUAGUUAACUGCUGCCGGUUUGUUCAACGGUAGUUAACUACUGUCGGGGGUAUUUGCAUCAUUUCGAUAUGUGUUUAAGAAACUAUUGAGGUGAGAAAAGCAAUUUUCUUAUCUAACAUGACCUUGUGUUUUUGUUAAACUAUGUCAUAUACGACUUGGUCUUUUAGUUAGGGAAGAAGUUAGUUAGUGCAUUUGAACCUCCAAGUUCUUCAUACUUACUCCUUGAUUUUGUGUAUGAGCUUUUGUCUCACUAGAAAAUGUUUUGGAUUCAUUCAUAAAAGCCUUUAAAAUAGCCAUUAGAGAAGCAGCUUCCUUGAUUUUGUGCAGCGAUUGAUGUUUGAGUAGGUGUGGUAAAUCUUGCUGGUAAAGUAGCCCUAGCUUGCAUUCCUUGUCCACCUUGCAAAGUAUUACUCUGGUUGAACCACAAAAAGCUAGGAUGGUUUCCAGGGUCGUCCCUGUAGAAUCAGAGGCUCGGCUCUAACAUUAAAAAAAGGCCCCUCAUAAAAUAAAAACAAUUUUUUUUAAAAAGAGCAAGCCUCUAUUCACCCUGAAAAUAAGAUCCAAUAAAAAAUGGUCAUCAUUAUAACUAACACAGAAAUGAUCAAUAUUGUAAUCAAUACAAUUAACAAAAGAUUUCAAAGGAAUAUCUUUAUCAACUUUCUAAGUUGUUAUUUUCUUUAGUUUAUACUUAGGCAAAAAAAUAAAGUUUAUAAUGUUAUUUUUAGAGAAUGAUUAUAAUGUUCGUUAUUAGAAGAAGUAUAAACUUGAAGAAGUGCUCUAACAAAAAUAAGAAGAAAAAGAAAGGUAUAUUGUGGUUUUAUUUGUGAAUAUAUAAUCCAAUAUGCUAAUGAGAUAUAGACUAAAUUGGAGAAAAAAGAGAGAGUACUGCUAUUGAAGUCAUGCUCAAAUCAAGGCCCUUUUAUACUAAAAAAUAUUAAAUUAAUUAAAGAAGCAAAAUGGUGAUCCUAAAAAAAAUGAAAAUUAAUUAAAGUAGCAAAAAGGAGAUCCUAAAACAAAUUCAAUUAACUAAAGAAGCAAAAUAGAGGUUCUCGGUUUUGAACCAUUGACCUGAGACGUGCCAAAAUGCACGUAAACCACUACGAUAUAUUUGCAAAGCUUAACACAAUGACGCAUUUUUAGAAUAUAUUCAAUUUGUUCGUGCAGUAUAUUAAAAAAAUAUAAAAAAAAUUGGGCCCCAAAAUUUUGGAGGCCCAGCUCAGUAGAGCUGUCUGCACCCCCUUAUGGCCGGCCCUGAUGGUUUCUCCAACCAAGGUUAUAAAUGGAUUGUUAUUCUUUCCAUAUCAGCCUAUAAAUACACAUAAAUAAGAUUUGCAGGAUUUUUUGUAGAGAUACCCCCUCCAUAGUACACAAUAAACAAUAUAAGUAUAGGUUGAAUUCAAGCCCGAUGCGACAAGUUCACCGCCAGGUGCAAUGAGGCAAGUAGUUCAAUUUUCGCCCUGCGUGGCCAGUCCUCCGCCAGGCGUGACGAAACAAUGGCAAACCCCCCUUGUAAAUGUUUUUCCCAAACUUGAAUUAUUUUACCAUAGUUGACUAAAGCUCCUUAGUGCUAACCCUAAAUAGGUGUUAUUUCACUUUAAGUGCUAAACCUAAAAGCAAAUGGAAAAUCACAUAAAAAUGAAGAGUAAUAAAAAAAAAUAUAUAUUAUAAUCUGCUUUGAGCCACUACAUUGUUUGAAAAACCUUAACAUUUUCUAAUUUAUUAUGAUCUGGGGUCUAGGAUGUGGGUGUCAAAUCAAUCUCUUAGUAAGCGGAUCCACAAUCAUGUCCUCUGUUAACUCUUUCUAGCACAAAGAACUAGAUGUCAAUGUGUUUCGAUUUUGUCGAGCUCUUGUUGUAAACCAAAAUUCUUAACGCGACUACGACCAUGACCACGAUUGUUAUUUAAAACCUUGUAUGUUGUCUGGUUCAACUGUGAUCAUGAAUCAUGAUUGUUGAUAUUACAAAAAUAUGUGAUCAAAUGCUUUUGAUCUGCCACGAUUGCGCUUGCAAUUAUUGAUAUUGCGAAAAGUUGCGAUGAAAUACAUAUUGAUGUAACACGGGCUUUACCUAACAAUUGUUCAAUGUUACUAAAUUUAAUUAGUAACAUUUUUCUUGAUUUAGUUACAAUUUUUAAGUGUUACUAAAUGUCAUUAUUGUAGUAGUGUACUUUUGAUACUGCCACUAGCUAGGGGUGGGCAUGGUUUGGUUAACCUAAAAAACCGAACCGAAAUUUUGAAAUGGUUCGGAAAAAUCGAACUGAACCAUUUCAGGUAUGGAGCUAACCGAACUGAACCAAAGUUAUGGUUCGGUUAACCGUUUUCUUACCUAUGAACCGAAUCAAAACCAAUAUUUUGAACCGAAAUGUUUUUUUUUUUAUCCUUUUGUGAAUUUAAUUGUAUUUUUUUUAUCCAAAAGGCAAAAUAUUUUUUUACUUACUUUUUUUUAAGAAUAUAUUUUUUUUAUUAAUAUUAUUAUUACACAAACACAACAAAAUAAUAAGUUUAAUGCAAAAUAUAUUAAGAAAUAAAAAUUAUAGUAUGAAAAUUAUUAUCGAUUAUUUUUUGAAAGAUAUGAAGUAAUAAUAAUAUAGAUUAAAUUAAUGUAAUAUAUAAGAUUAAACACGGUAAAAAAAUAUGUAUUAAUAUUUACUUUCGUGGUUAGUUUGCUUCGGAUUUGAAACAAUUUACUACGAUCUCUUUUUAAAAAUAGCUUACUCAAAAUCGCUUAUUUUAUGCAAAACACCUUAUUUUAAAAAACAACUUAUUCAAAACAGCUUAUUUUAUGCAAAACACCUUAUUUUAAAAAACAACUUAUUUUAUGAAAAACAAUUUAUUUUUGAAAACAGCUUCUUUUAUGAAAAACAGCUUAUUCAAAAAAGCUUAUUUUAUUAAAAAUAGCUUGUUACGAUCUCUUUUUAAAAACAACUUAUUUUAUGCAAAAAAACUUAUUCAAAACAGCUUAUUUUAUACAAAACAACUUAUUUUAAAAAACAGCUUAUUUAAAAUUGCUUAUUUUAUGCAAAACACCUUGUUUUAAAAAACAGCUUAUUCAAACAGCUUAUUUUAUGAAAACAACUUAUUUGAAACAACUUAUUUUAUUCAAAACAUGUUUUUUGAAAAUAAGCUAUUUUGAAUAAGCUGUUUUUAAAAUAAGAUGUUUUUCAUAAAAUAAGUUGUUUUUCAAAUAAGCUAUUUUGCAUAAAAUUAGCUGUUUUUUUAAAAUAAGUUGUUUUCAUAAAAUAAGCUGUUUUGAAUAAGUUGUUUUUUAAAAUAAGGUGUUUUGCAUAAAAUAAGCUUUUUUGAAUAAGUUUUUUUUUUUUAAAUAAGCUAUUUUGUAUAAAAUAAGAUGUUUUUCAAAUAAGCUGUUUUUUUAAAAUAAGUUGUUUUCAUAAAAUAAGUUGUUUUUAAAAUAAGGUGUUUUGCAUAAAAAAAAAGCUUUUUAAAAUAAGUUGUUUUUUUGGAAAGAUCCAACAAAGAGUUGAAGUGGUUUCCUUAAAAAUAAAAAAAAAAUAAAAAAAAAAAAACAGCUCAAGUGGUUUGGUUCGGUUCGGUUAUGGUUCAAGAACUGUUAAUAAAUUAACGAUUCGGUUCGUGAACCAUUAUAAUGAUUCGGUUAUUUUUGGUUCGGUUCGAUUCAUGGUUUUUUUCCCACCCCUAACUGCCACAAUUGCACUGGAAUACAAACCUUGAUAUUGCUGCUUGAUAGUUCCCAGGGUUUGAGUUGAACUGAAGUAUUGGUGAUCUCUUACAUUUUGAUGUAUAAGAUAUAUAAGUUUGUGUCUGAGUUUGGUUUUUCAGAAUAUUAUGCAAUCUAUUUUUUUUUUCUUUUUUCUUUUACGCAAGUUAUGCAAUUUUUGAGAAUUUAUGUAAAUAUUGAUCUGAAAAUGCAAUUCUUUAUUUAUUACUUAUAAUUACUGGUAUGACUUUACAACUUUGAUAUAAAUUCACAAGUAAAAGUGAUUAAAAUUUCUGUGAAUAGAAUGGUUUUCUGUGAUUUCAAUUCACUAAUAUGAUGGUGUUCUUGCUUUGCAAUAUCAGAGAUACUUUUGAUUUUUAUCACAUCUGUUUUUUAUAUAUUUUAUUGAAGCUGAUUUUUUUCUGUGUUAGCUGGAGAUUAACAUGGACUGGCGGAGAAUCUGUAUGCUUAUUACUUAUGGUCUUUGAAACUGAUUAAUGUAAGUUUUAGGCCCUGUUUGGGUAAACAACUUAAUUGCAGCUUAUUUAUAAGCUAAUUAUAUAACUAAAGAUAAAACAAAGUUAAAUUGUUUUGUAUUACCUAUAUAACCUAUAAGCUGUUUUCAUAGAAUAAGUUGUUAAAUUGUUUUGUAUAACCUAUAACAUAUCUUGGAGAAUUUAUGCAAAUAAGCUGAAAACAGCUUAUGAAUAUGGCAUAUUUUAUAUUGAAUAGUCCCAACCAAAAUUGCUCCAUUAUUUGUUUUGAUUAACUUCAUGAUUAAAAUGCAUCAAAUCUGGCUUGUGUAUGUAACAGGCUAACCAAGAUGAAUUUUAUAUCUUUGAACAUAUAAUACAAGGGAAAUGGUAUAUAUAGUAAUGGCUUAGUUAUAACAAGCAUGCUUUAUUUUCUUAGGAUAAAUAUAACAUAACUUGAAAAACAAAGAUCAAACACAUUCAAUCCUCUUCUUAGCAAUAAGGCAGAGAGGAUUUUUCUUGUGUUGAACAAGUCCUGGAAGACCAUCAAUGUCUAUAUUUUCCCACUUUACUCCUUCAGGCAUUUCCCAAUCAAACAAAUAGAGAAGAUUAGCAAGUACAAGGUCCACAGUAGCAAUUGCCAUGUUUAAGCCGGGGCAAACUCUUCGCCCCGAGCCAAAUGGAAUCAGCUCGAAAUCUUGUCCUUUUAAAUCUAUAUCACU